ACAACGACUCUCGGCAACGGAUAUCUCGGCUCUCGCAUCGAUGAAGAACGUAGCGAAAUGCGAUACUUGGUGUGAAUUGCAGAAUCCCGUGAACCAUCGAGUCUUUGAACGCAAGUUGCGCCCCAAGCCUUUAGGCCGAGGGCACGUCUGCCUGGGUGUCACG
rnacentral:rRNA from 2 species